UNUUAAAAGUUCGGGGCUUAACCCCGNGAUGGGAUGGAAACUGCUGAUCUAGAGUNUCGGAGAGGAAAGUGGAAUUCCUAGUGUAGCGGUGAAAUGCGUAGAUAUUAGGAAGAACACCAGUGGCGAAGGCGACUUUCUGGACGAAAACUGACGCUGAGGCGCGAAAGCCAGGGGAGCGAACGGGAUUAAAUACCCCGGUAGUCCUGGCCGUAAACGAUGGGUACUAGGUGUAGGAGGUAUCGACCCCUUCUGUGCCGGAGUUAACGCAAUAAGUACCCCGCCUGGGGAGUACGACCGCAAGGUUGAAACUCAAAGGAAUUGACGGGGGCCCGCACAAGCGGUGGAGUAUGUGGUUUAAUUCGACGCAACGCGAAGAACCUUACCAGGUCUUGACAUUGAUGGACAGAACUAGAGAUAGUUCCUCUUCUUCGGAAGCCAGAAAACAGGUGGUGCACGGUUGUCGUCAGCUCGUGUCGUGAGAUGUUGGGUUAAGUCCCGCAACGAGCGCAACCCCUAUCUUAUGUUGCCAGCACUUUGGGUGGGAACUCAUGAGAGACUGCCGCAGACAAUGCGGAGGAAGGCGGGGAUGACGUCAAAUCAUCAUGCCCCUUAUGACCUGGGCUACACACGUACUACAAUGGGAGUUAAUAGACGGAAGCAAUACCGCGAGGUGGAGCAAACCCGAGAAACACUCUCUCAGUUCGGAUCGUAGGCUGCAACUCGCCUACGUGAAGUCGGAAUCGCUAGUAAUCGCAGGUCAGCAUACUGCGGUGAAUACGUUCCCGGGCCUUGUACACACCGCCCGUCACACCACGAAAGUCGGAAGUGCCCAAAGCCGGUGGGGUANCCUUCGGGA
rnacentral:rRNA from 1 species